rnacentral:tRNA from 1 species
GCGCCCAUAGCUCAACAGGCAGAGCAGCUGACUCUUAAUCAGAAGGUUCGGGGUUCGAUUCCCUGUGGGCGCACCA